rnacentral:rRNA from 1 species
AUAUAAUUAAGCGGAGGAAAAGAAACUAACAAGGAUUCCCCUAGUAACGGCGAGUGAAGAGGGAAGAGCUCAAGCUUAAAACCGGUGUCUUUCAGACAUCGGGUUGUAGCCUAAAGAAGGAGUGUCUGGGUGGUCGGUGACCUAAAUGCCUUGGAAAAGGCUGCCACGGAGGGUGAGAGCCCCGUACCUGGUUGCCGGUCCCAUCCUUUACGAUACCCUUUCAUCGAGUCGGGUUGCUUGAGAGUGCAGCCUAAAGUGGGUGGUAUACUUCAUCCAAAGCUAAAUAUUGACACGAGACCGAUAGCGCACAAGUA